UCCCUGGUAGUCCAGUGGUUAGGACUCUGCACUUUCACUGCUGAGGGAGGCAGGUUCAGUCCCUGGUAGGGGAA
rnacentral:tRNA from 1 species